GUGCGCGUGCGCAGUGUGUUUUCUCUGUAAUUCUGGGCCGUGUUCCGGAAGCCUCGUAAGACAAAAGCGAACGAGAGGCGGAAAAAAGGAAGACGCUUCCUGAAGUUGGGGAUGCUGGACUAGUUUUCAUACUAGAUCCCCUCGUGGCAGCAUUAAGGAACUUCACAUUCUUCUCACACUAUUCAUGGAAAGUUCCUGGAACUCCCACAGCAGCAAGAAAACUUCGCUUGUAGGAGUCCUUAGCACAUCUGUAAAGUUUUAUUGGCCAAAAUGUGAUACAUCUCCAUUUCUGGAUCAGUCACUGUGGUCAAGUGCAAGACGCUCUACAGGACUCAACCUGGGGAUGAGGUCUGUCUACUCCAUCCAUAUGGUCACUUUAUACUGAGGUUGGGUAUAAUUGAUAUACAACAAACUAUACAUCAUUAAUGUAUACAAUUUGAUGAAUUUGGAAAUAUGCAUACACCUGUGACAUCAUCACUACAAUCAAGGGUUGCUGCUUUUUAAGAGAUGAAAAGAUCCAAGGUGUGACACAGAAUGGAUGACUGGAGUGGAAAAAAUGAAAAUGUCAUUGGAAUAUGGAAGUAAAGAAACUGAGAAGCUGAGAGUUUUUGCAUCAUCCAGUCAGGUAUGGAAAUCACCAAGGAUAAAGGAAGGAACUGGGUUAGAAUGGAAGACCUUUUGCCAGGAAUGGAAGACUUCAGUAAAUGAAGAGAUUUGACUAGGAUGUUGGCAGAAGAUAGUGAGAAGGUCUAAGAAAGGGUGGUAUAUCCAGAUGACAUAAACAUCAAAAGAACGGUGAUUUUUGCAGGAGGGAAGGGGUGAAAUAAUUUGAAAGUAGCAAUGGGAGAGAGCAAGGAAUGCACCUACCUCCAAUCCUGGCCCUGACAUUCUCUCAGGGACCAGAUAGGUUUCAACUAAGGUAAGGCAAGGAGAUGAUGGGAAAAUGAGGGAAAGGGGACUGGACUGCUGAACACAGAUGAGAGUCACAUGAAACACUAGAAGGGUUUAUUUAGGGAGGGGGAGAAGUGGAGAGAAUAACAGUUUGUGGAUUAUGAUUUUAUGAGAAAAAGAAGGACUUAGAGAGGCUGGAACUUCUGCAGAUUAGUGAGCUACACAGGGAUGUGAAGCAUGAUUGGCUUGAACCUGGUAGUCUCAUCUUGUCAUCCUCUUAGUGGUGUGUGCAGCCUAAGGCAUUAAAUUAUGGUGCAGCCUCUGGGCUAAUAGUUACUCUCUCAACAGUGGAGAGUUCUACAUAAUUUGCCAUAAUUAGAUACAUUACCUUAGAGAAAGUGCUAAACCCUUCAAAAUCCCAGUUGCUUAAUCUAUG
rnacentral:lncRNA from 10 species